ACCAUGUUCCUUAGAUCCACUCUCGGGUAAAUGGCAUGUCGACAUCAGCAGGUCUGACUGCGCUGCGUUACCAACAACCUUCCCGGUUGUAUGUCGAGAGUGCUUGAGUCAUAAGCAUGGGAGAGUUAUACACCUGACUCAGUGACCAAAUGCAUCUCUCCUUAGGGAUGGAGAAGUCAUUGAUUUGGACAUG